rnacentral:tRNA from 1 species
GGGGUUGUGGCUCAGUGGUAGUGCGCUUGCUUCGCAUGUGAGAGUCACUGGGUUUGAUUCUCAGCCCCA